AAAAUGGGAGGGCUACACAAAGGGCCAAUUCCUAAAAUGAGGGCUCACAUGUGGGUCUUUGGCCAGCCUGGGCUAAAUAAUUGGAUGGGCCCUAGCUGACGUCACCUAGUCGUUAGGUGACGUUAGCUAGCUUUUUUUUAAAUCCAAAAAAAAAAAUAAAAAAAAAUCUAAAUUUUUUGUAUAAAUACCAACCUCAUUCUUACUUUCUCACAACAUCUUCAUCAUUUUAAAUAUUAUC
rnacentral:lncRNA from 1 species